rnacentral:rRNA from 1 species
CAGUAGCCGCGGUAAUACGAAGGGUGCAAGCGUUAAUCGGAAUUACUGGGCGUAAAGCGUGCGUAGGCGGUGAGUUAAGUCUGCUGUGAAAUCCCCGGGCUCAACCUGGGAAUGGCAGUGGAUACUGGCUCGCUAGAGUGUGUCAGAGGAUGGCGGAAUUCCCGGUGUAGCGGUGAAAUGCGUAGAGAUCGGGAGGAACAUCAGUGGCGAAGGCGGCCAUCUGGGACAACACUGACGCUGAGGCACGAAAGCGUGGGGAGCAAACAGGAUUAGAUACCCGUGUAGUCCCUGUCUCUUAUAC